rnacentral:rRNA from 1 species
GUGUCAGCCGCCGCGGUAAUACGUAGGGGGCGAGCGUUGUCCGGAUUCAUUGGGCGUAAAGCGCGCGCAGGCGGCUGUGCGAGCCCGGCGUGAAAGCCCCCGGCUCAACCGGGGGAGGUCGUCGGGGACCGCAUGGCUAGAGGCCGGUAGGGGCGAGCGGAAUUCCCGGUGUAGUGGUGGAAUGCGUAGAGAUCGGGAGGAACACCAGUGGCGAAGGCGGCUCGCUGGGCCGGUCCUGACGCUCAGGCGCGAAAGCGUGGGGAGCGAUCCGGAUUAGAAACCCCCGUAGUCC